ensembl:lncRNA
GCCUGCCCCACUUAAGGAGGGCCUCAUGGCUGGGGAGAAGGAGACGCACUUGUAGGAUGUGCCCGGAAGCCAGGUGGCUCUUGUGUCCCCAGCGGACAGCUUCACCUCUGCCCCCUCCCACAGCCUUGCCGAGAAACUGUGCUGUCCGUGGGCAGCCCCUCCUGGGGCUGGAGCGUGCCGUGCCUGUUGGAACUCAGCGUCUCAUCUGAGCAGGAGGCGGUCUUCCUGAAGCUUGCUGUCUGAUUACGACAACUGCAGUGUAUAUGGGGGAAGUGCCCUCUGUGGGGGGCUUCCUCUUGCCAUCACUGGGCUUGGAGAGGGUAGUGCCAUGUCAGACAUGACCACUGACACCCACGCUGGAUCCCGAUGUUCUGCUGGAGGGGACCCCUCACCUGGCUCAGCAUCCUGGAGUCCACGGGGAGGAACCAGAGAAAGACACAGCCACUGUUGUCUGGCAUUUUCCCGGAGACAGGCUCUCAAGGCGUCCCCAGUUCCAGCCCGCCUUUCAGUGUUGUCCUCAGUGCACAGAGCGCUGGGGUGGCAGGGGCUCGGGGUGGCUCAUGAUCUUCUGAAGACAGAGCUCCUGGCAGCUCUGUUUGCCAUCCUGCCUUUGUCCCAACCCUGACGUCAUGGACGAGGAAACUGAGGACCUGAGAGACAAAGUGACUUUUGCAGUUCACACAGCUGCUCAGGGCCAGAGACACGACUAAAGCCUCCUGUGCUCAGGCCAGUGUCCCCCCUCACCUCCCUCUCCUGCCUUGUUAACAAGCCCCAUGGAGCGCUUGCUGCAUGUGCCAACCUUUUUUCUGUCCAUUGUGGUUCUUGGGGUGGGAGAGAGAGAGCCCCCUCUGUGGGGGUGAGCAGCCCCCCAGAUUGGCAGCCCUCCUUUGGCAGUUCCUCCACCAGCCCACACCCCUCUGACCAGAUUUCCUCCCUAGACUUUUGUCUUCUCCCCACUUUCCAUCCUCUCCACCAGAGGAUGCCUUGGAUCUGUGAGAGACUCCCAUUCUCCCACAGAGAUGUGGGGGUGCCCCUUUCCCCAGGCCCCUGCCAAACCAUGCCAGACCCUUCCCUGGCUGGGGGAGGCUUCUUGGAGGAGGAAGGCUUCCUGGAGGAAGAAGGCAGGGCUUGGAUAAGCUGUGAGGUCUUGUUCCAAAGGGAAGGGGGGAGGGGGAGUGGGGAUGGGGUGGGCCACUUNNNNNNNNNNNNNNNNNNNNNNNNNNNNNNNNNNNNNNNNNNNNNNNNNNNNNNNNNNNNNNNNNNNNNNNNNNNNNNNNNNNNNNNNNNNNNNNNNNNGGAGUGGGGAUGGGGUGGGCCACUUCGGGACAGUGUCCUGGGGAGGACCUGGGGGCUGGAAGAAGGGAAGCAAUCUGCAGUGAUGUGUAGGUAGAAGUCACCACCUGGUGGCUGGAGUAAAAGUCUGUGGUCCAGCCAGGGUGAGCUCCAUCCCCACUGCCCAGCAUCCUCAGAGCAUCCACUAUCCUUAGCUCAGAACUUUGAGGACUUCUCAGCUUUUGAGAACAAGGAUGCUGGCAUGCCAGGGACAAGCAGAUGUCCAGACUCCUGGGUCCUGGAUGGCCCCUUAUGCCUCCCUCUGGACUGCUUGCUCACCGUGGCAGUUAACUGGCUAGUUGGUGGGUGAAGAAGGCCGUCCAGGGAUGGAGAGGAACUCUGCCCCAGGAUUCCUCUUUUCCAGGACUGGGGACCUCAGAGGGGCAAGCAUGGUGCUCUCUGCUGCCACCUGGUGGCGGAUAGGAGCAGGGCCACCUCCCUGGUCUGGCCUCCCACCUCCUGAGGCCCCCUCAUCCCUACCCUCGCUGGACAUGUGGACUGGCUGAGCAUUUCCCCUUCCCUGUGCAAGUUAGCGCCCUCUGGAAAUAAAAACCUCCCACACCCUCCUCCUCACGGCCCCGGUGGGUGUUCCCGCAAGAGUCCACUGGCUUUGGGACAGCCCUGCUGCCAGGGGCGUGAGGUGGAGGCCAGCAGGCUUCUCAGCAGCCGGCCGCCUGCCCCGAGUGCGCUGAGCUGUGCAGCCUGGGCCUCAGCCUGGAGACCCUUGCUCUGGGUGGCAGGCAACUCUGCACACAGAGGGGCCGGGCAUGGGCUCUCUC